UACGGGGGGGGCAAGCGUUGUUCGGAAUUACUGGGCGUAAAGGGCGCGUAGGCGGCCUUCUAAGUCGAACGUGAAAUCCCCGGGCUCAACCCGGGAACUGCGUCCGAUACUGGAAGGCUUGAAUCCGGGAGAGGGAUGCGGAAUUCCAGGUGUAGCGGUGAAAUGCAUUGAGAUCGGAAAGAACACCAACGGCGAAAGCACUCUGCUGGGCCGACACUGACACUGAGAGACGAAAGCUAGGGGAGCAAAUGGG
rnacentral:rRNA from 1 species